rnacentral:rRNA from 1 species
CGCUUUCGGGUGUCGCUGAUGGAUGGACCCGCGGUGCAUUAGCUAGUUGGUGAGGUAACGGCUCACCAAGGCGACGAUGCAUAGCCGACCUGAGAGGGUGAUCGGCCACAUUGGGACUGAGACACGGCCCAAACUCCUACGGGAGGCAGCAGUAGGGAAUCUUCGGCAAUGGACGAAAGUCUGACCGAGCAACGCCGCGUGAGUGAAGAAGGUUUUCGGAUCGUAAAACUCUGUUGUUAGAGAAGAACAAGGAUGAGAGUAACUGUUCAUCCCUUGACGGUAUCUANCCAGAAAGCCACGGCUAACUACGUGCCAGCAGCCGCGGUAAUACGUAGGUGGCAAGCGUUGUCCGGAUUUAUUGGGCGUAAAGCGAGCGCAGGCGGUUUCUUAAGUCUGAUGUGAAAGCCCCCGGCUCAACCGGGGAGGGUCAUUGGAAACUGGGAGACUUGAGUGCAGAAGAGGAGAGUGGAAUUCCAUGUGUAGCGGUGAAAUGCGUAGAUAUAUGGAGGAACACCAGUGGCGAAGGCGGCUCUCUGGUCUGUAACUGACGCUGAGGCUCGAAAGCGUGGGGAGCAAACAGGAUUAGAUACCCUGGUAGUCCACGCCGUAAACGAUGAGUGCUAAGUGUUGGAGGGUUUCCGCCCUUCAGUGCUGCAGCUAACGCAUUAAGCACUCCGCCUGGGGAGUACGACCGCAAGGUUGAAACUCAAAGGAAUUGACGGGGGCCCGCACAAGCGGUGGAGCAUGUGGUUUAAUUCGAAGCAACGCGAAGAACCUUACCAGGUCUUGACAUCCUUUGACCACUCUAGAGAUAGAGCUUCCCCUUCGGGGGCAAAGUGACAGGUGGUGCANGGUUGUCGUCAGCUCNUGUCNUGAGAUGUUGGGUUAANUCCCGCAACGAGCGCAACCCUUAUUGUUAGUUGCCAUCAUUUANUUGGGCACUCUAGCAAGACUGCCGGUGACAAACCNGAGGAAGGUGGGGAUGACGUCAAAUCAUCAUGCCCCUUAUGACCNGGGCUACACACGUGCUACAAUGGGAAGUACAACGAGUCNCAAAGUCNCGAGGCUAAGCUAAUCUCUUAAAAGCUUCUCUCAGUUCGGAUUGUAGGCUGCAACNCNCCUACAUNAAGCCGGAAUCGCUNGUAAUCCGCGGAUCAGCNCNCCNCGGUGAANACNUUCCCGGGCCUUNUACACACCNCCCNNUCACACCACGANAGUUUNUAACNCCCNAAGU